rnacentral:rRNA from 1 species
GAUCAUGGCUCAGAUUGAACGCUGGCGGCAGGCCUAACACAUGCAAGUCGAACGGUAACAGGAAGAAGCUUGCUUCUUUGCUGACGAGUGGCGGACGGGUGAGUAAUGUCUGGGAAACUGCCUGAUGGAGGGGGAUAACUACUGGAAACGGUAGCUAAUACCGCAUAACGUCGCAAGACCAAAAGAGGGGGGACCCUUCGGGCCUCUUGCCAUCGGAUGUGCCCAGAUGGGAUUAGCUAGUAGGG